UACAGAGGUCCCAAGCGUUGUUCGGAUUCAUUGGGCGUAAAGGGUGCGUAGGUGGCGUCGUAAGUCGGGUGUGAAAUUUCGGAGCUCAACUCCGAAACUGCAUUCGAUACUGCGGUGCUUGAGGACUGGAGAGGAGACUGGAAUUUACGGUGUAGCAGUGAAAUGCGUAGAGAUCGUAAGGAAGGCCAGUGGCGAAGGCGAGUCUCUGGACAGUUACUGACGCUGAGGCACGAAGGCCAGGGGAGCAAACGGG
rnacentral:rRNA from 1 species